rnacentral:rRNA from 1 species
GACGAACGCUGGCGGCGUGCUUAACACAUGCAAGUCGAACGGAAAGGCCCUGCAUUUGUGCCGUGCUGGAGUGGCGAACGGGGGAGUAACACGUGAGUAGCCUGCCCUUUUCUUUGGGGUAACUUCAGGAAACUGGAGCGAAUACCGGAUAUGAGAUCCUUCUGCAUGGGGUUUGUGUUAGAGUGUCGGCGGUUGAGCAUGGAAUGGGGGCUUAUCAGCUUGUUGGUGAGGUGGUGGCGUACCAAGGCUUUGAGGGGAAGCCGGCCUGGGAGGGUGACAGGGCACAUUGGGACUGAGAUAGGGCCAAGACUGAUACGGCAGGCAGAAGUGGGAAACAUUGCAAGAUGGGCGGAAGCCGGAUGCAGCAACUUCGGGUGGGGGAUGACGGCCUUCAGGUAGUAACGCGCUUUAGACUGUGAAGAAGAGUGAGUGACGGUAAUGGGCAAAGAAGCAACGGCUAACUACGUG